rfam:Mesocricetus auratus contig180685, whole genome shotgun sequence.
AAAUAUGAGGCCAACCUGGUUGAGACGUCCAUCACCUCCCUGAUAGCCAGGGCUGAUUCGGGUGAUGGGACUGGUUAGGUGGGUGUCUCCCUCACCGCUCCACAUGCUUCCUUCCUGAAGCUUCACCUCCCGCUGAAGAGGACAGCCUUCCCCAUAACAGACCGGUCUUAAGUCAGGGGUGGGAAAGUAGCCACGCUCCCCUGCUGGAGGCCUUAAACAGUCUCUCAAGAACGUGACGCAUGCCAGUCCUGCUCUUACUCUCUUCUUGCCCCCUUACCACGAUGCUUCCGGGCCCUAAGGAAGGGCUGUAAA